AUGAGUCGCUGCAGAGCUGCACAGAACAUGUGGACACCCCGGGAGGAACCUGGGGGACUGCCAUCAAUCUAUGGCUCUGUCGUGCUCCUCCUCCCUGUUGUCAGUCUGGCUCCCAUCUGUUGCUCUCUCCUCCUCCCGUCUUUCUGCAUCUUAAUUGCUCCUAAUAAGCAGAAACAUAAUGUACAGUAUUCAACACACACCGCUCCCUCUCUGCACCGCUCCCCUCCUCCUUCCUCUCAUCCUUUGCACACUGCACAGUCACAUCCAUCACUGGAGGUCUUCCACUCGUGCUCAAGCCAAGUUUAUCCAACAGCAACUUUAAAGAAAAGAUGCAAAGAUACUUUCCUUUAGUGUUUGAGGAGGAAGAUUACAGAAAGUCCACGUCGGUGGAAGAGAUGUUGGAGGUCUCGGCUGCAGAGAUGGCUGCCUUCUCUACAAUAUAACAGAAGAAGAUGGGGAUCAAAGCGCCAAAAAAUAUGUUUUAAAAACUCAACAGCAAAUUCUCUUUUCAGAAAUCAUGACAUUGUAUCAUCGCACAGGAGCAGCGUGCAAGAGACAUCGCUGUUGAGUUUUUCAUCUCCAUUCUCUCUUAGCCGACAUCCAACACGGAGAGGACGAGGAGGAUGUACCCGAUCUCAAACAUAACGUCAGACAGAAACAUUAUCAGUUACGAUGAUACACACAUUGUUAGGUCAACCUAAUCAGUAAUUGGUUACUGAGAGUAAACAAAGGCAAACCGUACAAAAGGAAGAGUUCACCGACAUCCUGGUUCAAGUUUCAACAAACACAGCUUUGAGUUGUCCUGUGCACUGAGGGAUUAGACAUGACAGACACACACACACACACACACACACACACACACACACACACACACACACACACAGGUAGAGAUUAUCUGGAUGUGAUGUCACUGUGUGUCCAGGUCUCAGCUACAGAAGUAAGACCUCGUUACAGAAGUUAUUCACCACAUGUCUGUGUGACAGAAACAUGUUUUACAACCGCAUUAAGGGAAGAAAUCAGAUCUUAUCUCAGGAUAGGAUUUAAGAUAUUACACACUUGUACACCUAAUGCACUUAUAAAGUCUAAGCGGUCCGUCCUGCAGCCCAUCAGCAGGUCGAGAGGUUUGAUAUGAACGUCCUGUUAUCCACUGAGGCAAUUGGUCCCUUCUUAGUUCCUAAAUGUCCCCCAGUGCAGCCACAAUGAACUCUCUCUUCUCUCAAUAGACCUCUGUGUGUCAUGACUCUGGAUUUGUGUUCCUGUUUUAUUUUGUAGAGUUCACCUCCCUUGUGUCAUGUAUUGUAUUUACUUCCUGUCUUUGUGUGGUUUCCCACCAUCGUCAGCGUCUGCCCCGCCCCUGAUUGUUUUCACCUGUUCCCACUCACCUCUUGUAUAAAUUUUCCUGUCUCCCCUUGUCGUGGGUCAGUUCGUCUUGUCUUAUCCUUGACAUAGCAUGUAUAAGUUCCAGUGUGCCAAGUACCAGUGUGUUUUUUCAGAGAACUUUGUUUAUCCUCCUAGUGAGAGCUUUGAGUUAAGAUUUAGUUUUAUUGAAGUAAAGUAUUAUUUUUUUU
rnacentral:lncRNA from 1 species